rnacentral:rRNA from 1 species
AUUGAACGCUGGCGGCAGGCCUAACACUUGCAAGUCGAAUGGUAACAGGAAACAGCUUGCUGUUUCGCUGACGAGUGGCGGACGGGUGAGUAAUGUCUGGGAAACUGCCUGAUGGAGGGGGAUAACUACUGGAAACGGUAGCUAAUACCGCAUAACGUCGCAAGACCAAAGAGGGGGACCUUCGGGCCUCUUGCCAUCAGAUGUGCCCAGAUGGGAUUAGCUAGUAGGUGGGGUAACGGCUCACCUAGGCGACGAUCCCUAGCUGGUCUGAGAGGAUGACCAGCCACACUGGAACUGAGACACGGUCCAGACUCCUACGGGAGGCAGCAGUGGGGAAUAUUGCACAAUGGGCGCAAGCCUGAUGCAGCCAUGCCGCGUGUAUGAAGAAGGCCUUCGGGUUGUAAAGUACUUUCAGCGGGGAGGAAGGGAGUAAAGUUAAUACCUUUGCUCAUUGACGUUACCCGCAGAAGAAGCACCGGCUAACUCCGUG